rnacentral:rRNA from 1 species
UUGAACGCUGGCGGCAGGCCUCACACAUGCAAGUCGCGCGGAUGAAGGGAGCUUGCUCCUGGAUUCAGCGGCGGACGGGUGAGUAAUGCCUAGGAAUCUGCCUGGUAGUGGGGGAUAACGUCCGGAAACGGGCGCUAAUACCGCAUACGUCCUGAGGGAGAAAGUGGGGGAUCUUCGGACCUCACGCUAUCAGAUGAGCCUAGGUCGGAUUAGCUAGUUGGUGGGGUAAAGGCCUACCAAGGCGACGAUCCGUAACUGGUCUGAGAGGAUGAUCAGUCACACUGGAACUGAGACACGGUCCAGACUCCUACGGGAGGCAGCAGUGGGGAAUAUUGGACAAUGGGCGAAAGCCUGAUCCAGCCAUGCCGCGUGUGUGAAGAAGGUCUUCGGAUUGUAAAGCACUUUAAGUUGGGAGGAAGGGCAGUAAGUUAACACCUUGCUGUUUUGACGUUACCAACAGAAUAAGCACCGGCUAACUUCGUG